rnacentral:piRNA from 1 species
UGCACAAUGGUCUUACCUGCAACCUGGGG